UUAUGUUUUCUUGUGCAAACAAAUAUAUUAGAUAUGUGACGUACAAAUACAUAAGAUUAAAGACUAUUCAGUGUACUCUUCCACUUCUUUCCUGGUUUCAUUCAGAAAUUUGGAGAACUUAAGAUUUUAUAAGUCAAUGAGACACUUGGCAGCUAAAGUUUCCCGGUUACAUUCAAAAAAAUUUACAAGUCAAUGAGACACUUGACAACUAAAGUUUCCUGGUUUCAUUCAAAAAUUUGGAGAACUCAAGAUUUUACGAGUCAACGAGACACUUGACAGCUAAAGAAAGGUUAGGGCAAUAUUGACUUUUUAAAAAGGUUUAAUUAGUAUUUUGGUCCCUUAAAGAUAUUUUAGGUUUCACAAUGGUCCUUAAAGAAAAAAAGGUCUGGAUUGGUACCUUAAAGACACAUCAGUUUCUCAAUUGGUCCUUUCUGUCAUUUUUUUACAAAAAACGUUAGUUUUAGUUGACUGAAUUGUGGAUGUCAUUAAGUGUAAGUGGUCCACCAAAAACCUUAUUAAUUUUUAAAAUUUUAACCAUUGAGAUUUUUUGUUAUAUUUGAAGUUAAAAUUUAACGGAAAAGAUCAAUAUGACAAACAUAUAUUUCUUUAAGGGACCAAUCCGGGUCUUUUUUUCUUUAAGGGACCAAUCCAGACAUUUUUUUCUUUAAAUGACCAUUGUGAAACCUAAAAUGUCUUUAAGGGACCAAUAGACUAAUUAAGCCUUUUAAAAACAUGUUUUUCUUAGAUUAACCGUAUAGAUUAGUAUAGNNNNNNNNNNNNNNNNNNNNNNNNNNNNNNNNNNNNNNNNNNNNNNNNNNNNNNNNNNNNNNNNNNNNNNNNNNNNNNNNNNNNNNAUCCUCUUCUUUUUUUCAUCUUUUCGUUGGAAAUUUCCACAUUCCUCAUUGUUCCAUUCCAAUUGUAAAUCCAAAUUUCUUGAUCUUAUAAUGUUAAAGAUAUAGUUAGUUAGUAAUUAGGAGGAUUAGUUAGUAGUUUGUUGAUGCCUAUAUAUAGGCUUUGAUGUAAUCUUUUAGUUUCACUUUUCUCAUUUGUAAUAUUUUUCCUUCAUCAAUAUUAUACACUUUUGACCUAUUUUCUCUCCUUCUCCCAUGGAUGCCUUGUUUCUUAAGUAUCAGAGCAAAUUUGGUAUCCACCUUAAAGAAAUUUUCCUUUCCAUUUUCUCGAGAAAAUUCAAUUUUCUCAUAUCUCUUUAUUUUCUUUCUCCCAAUUUCUUUCACAGAUUCAAUUUCCCCUAUCCGUUUAUUUCACCGAUUCAUCAUCUUCUUCAAUUUCGUUUUCGAUUGCAUUCUUGAUAUUGCUUCGCUCAUAUCUGUGUGAUGUUUGCAGAUUGAUUCAUUCUUGUUCAUCAUUUUGUGCUAGCUUUCCCAAUUUCUAGGGUUCAGAUUGGAAUUCUUUGGCUAUGCCUGUUUCAAUUUCUUGUUCGAGGCAGUUACAAAUUAUAGGUUUUACAAUUCGAUUUCAAUUCCUUGAUUUGACUUCGAAUCACCGUUUCUGUUUCAUUCUUAGACUCUGUUUUUCCUUCACUUGAUCGGAAUCAUCUUCUUCAAGUUCCGAUCCCGAUUUUGUUUCGAACUGACAUUCAUCUACUGUUGAUUCUUGAUAGUGACAAAGUCACAAAUUUUUGUUGCUAUAUAUGUUACUUCUGAAAUUUGAACGGGUUUGGAGGAUCGUCGUUUUGGCUCUGUGAGUUGGUGCAGAGAAUUGUUGAUUCAUUGCUCUAUCGUAUCUGCUGUGUUAUCUCUGAAGAUGGAUUUCCAUGGUUAUGCUUUUGGUUCUUCCUUUUCUUUGGAUUUGAAGCUUAAU
rnacentral:lncRNA from 1 species